rnacentral:rRNA from 1 species
UGAGCAAUCUGCCCUUCUCAUCGGAAUAAGCGUUGGAAACGACGUCUAAUGCCGAAUACGACCUCCUUUCGCAUGAUCGGAGGUGGAAAGCUCCGGCGGAGAAGGAUGAGCUCGCGGCCUAUCAGCUAGUUGGUGUGGGUAAUGGCCCACCAAGGCGACGACGGGUAGCCGGCCUGAGAGGGUGACCGGCACACACUGGGACUGAGACACGGCCCAGACCUCCGUAGGAGG